rnacentral:rRNA from 1 species
GAUGAACGCUGGCGGCGUGCCUAAUACAUGCAAGUCGAGCGAACAGACGAGGAGCUUGCUCCUCUGACGUUAGCGGCGGACGGGUGAGUAACGCGUGGAUAACCUACCUAUAAGACUGGGAUAACUUCGGGAAACCGGAGCUAAUACCGGAUAAUAUAUUGAACCGCAUGGUUCAAUAGUGAAAGACGGUUUUGCUGUCACUUAUAGAUGGAUCCGCGCCGCAUUAGCUAGUUGGUAAGGUAACGGCUUACCAAGGCAACGAUGCGUAGCCGACCUGAGAGGGUGAUCGGCCACACUGGAACUGAGACACGGUCCAGACUCCUACGGGAGGCAGCAGUAGGGAAUCUUCCGCAAUGGGCGAAAGCCUGACGGAGCAACGCCGCGUGAGUGAUAAAGGUCUUCGGAUCGUAAAACUCUGUUAUUAGGGAAGAACAAAUGUGUAAGUAACUAUGCACGUCUUGACGGUACCUAAUCAGAAAGCCACGGCUAACUACGUG